GGUAUGAAUAGUAGGCACAUUUCUUCUGUGGGUCGUAUGUUGGUCUUGGUUACUUGCUUAAUCAGUUGGUGCGUUUUGCGCCAGAAAGGUUGUAGGGUGGCACAUGACCACCAUAUGUGCAACAUUGUACCUUCUUGUGUAUUGCAUCUCCAACAUUUAUUCGUGGAUGAUUGGGGACAUAUUCUGUGUAUUUUGGCUGGUACUAGAUACCAGCGGUAUUGUAUUUUCCUUUGUAGUUCUAGGUGGUUCGUGCAGGAUGUGAUACCUUUGUGUGACUCUUGCCCAGUGAUCUUCAUCUAUUGUUCGGUGUAGUUCUUUGUACCAAGCUAUUUUAUGCAUAAUUUUCCCUUCGUUAUGUGUGCUCGUGAGUGUUUUAUAACACCGUGAUAUUACCUUUUUCGGGGCAGGGCGUUUGUACAGAAUUUCUCGUAUAGGGAGAGCGCCUAGAGUGGUUCCUUGUUUUGUUUUGUAGGGUGUGUAUUCUUUAGGCACGAUUUGAGUUAGAGGUAUGGAAACAGCAUGUGGUGCGGUAGGUCGUAUUUAGUUUGCAGGGUAGGGAACUGCACCAUGUCUCCUUUGUCGAAUAGCUGUUCUAUCCGUUUGAUGCCAUGUUCUAACCAUUUGUUUUUGUC